GCAUGGGCCUAGGGGAGGCGGCUGGGCCGACUGCUCGCCCUCGGCGCCCCGGAGAUCACCAGCCUGGCCUCCCUAGCCUCCGCUCUGCUGCUCUGCCGCUCUGCACGUCCCAGCUCCUGCAGUUGUUCCAGCGCCAGAGAGGAAAGGAAAAACUCCCAAGGGAAGUGACUCUGCUGCUACUGGUUCCUGGAAACUUAGUGUGAAUGUAGCCAUAUCAUCUAUUUUCACUGACGAUUUCGAGUCAUAUUAUCCCUCUUGUACUCCUCCUGGAAGCCAUCUGUGUCAGUCACAGAGACUAGCACCAACACUCAUCAGAUGAUCCCACUAAGGAAAGGAAGGAAACCAGCAUUACCCGGACUCCAAAACUAGACGACGACUCAGGAGCAGCAAUAACAAACCACAGAGCAGCCUCCCUGACGAGCGGACACGACGUUCUCAGAGUCACACCGAAUUUAAGACCCUGUAAAAAAGACUACUGGGUGGUGGAACUUUCCGUGGCUUGCUUUUGCUCACCGGGUUUUUCAUUCUCUGCUUCAACUUGGCUGUUCCUUAGUUUUCUUCUAUGUCCAUGCUCAAUGCAGUUUUCAUAUCCAGUGCUGUCCUUGUCAUUUUCCUCGGCCAUUUUUGUGUGCUUUCUUGGACUUCAGUCAUUUAUCCUGAUCCUCUCUAAGUGCAUUCGGGCUUUUACUUAUUUCUGACUUUAUAUGCUUUGAACACGUUGACCAUGCUUACAAUUGUUCUUUUGAAUUCCGUGUAUAUUUCAUGUAAGUUGCUGUCUUUAGGGGACAUUGCCAUGGAGUUGGUGAUUUGAGGGGGACAGAAGUCUGUGGUCAUGACAUCCAUCUCAAUGUAUUUGUCAGCCAACAUUUGUUUUUAUUCAUUUGUAGGCAACGCUGCUUCCAGACAUCAUAAGAAUUUAAUACCUUAAAUUCCCACCAGGUGGCGCUCCAAGGUUACCAAGAGCAGGUUAUACUUGCUGAAGUGCGAGGCAGGGCAGUGCGUGCCGUGGUGUAAAGGAGGGCUGGGCAGAAGAAUAUGUGCAUGUGUAUACAUAUAUGUACAC